rnacentral:rRNA from 1 species
AAAUUAGCACAGCCCAAAACGCCAGGUCGAGGUGUAGCAUAUGAGAGGGGAAGAAAUGGGCUACAUUCCCUGUUCUUUCUGGGAAUACGAACAAUGUAAUGAAAUAUACAUUAGAAGGAGGAUUUAGCAGUAAGCAUAAAAUAGAGUGUUUUGCUGAAAUUGGCCCUGAAGCGCGCACACACCGCCCGUCACCCUCCCUGACCCAACAAAUCAAAGACUU